CUGUUGUUGAACAUACAAUGAUUUGACCAAAUGGAUGGAUAAAUCCAGAAGCUAAGGAAUCCCGCACUUGGAAUCUUUUAGAAGUAACCAGUGCGGCAUUUCGUUCCAUUUAUAUUAAUUGAUUCGUUCAAGAUCUUCAGUCCAUUAUAGUAUCCGUAUGUUGCUUUCUGAUGCAAGCCUUUAUCUUGGGGUUUUUGUAUGUUUAAAUUAAGGAAAAUUCACUGUGAUUUGUGACUUUUGAAGCUAAGGCCAACAACCUAAGCUAAGUGAGAUCAUCGAUAUUUUAUUAUAUAUAUUCACGCCUGUUUAUUUAUUUAUUUAUGUAUUUUUGUUAACCUUUUCCGGUGAUAUUCGGGCAUCUAGUCUAGGGAUAAGUAGAGUACAGGUUUAAAGUCUUCACAUGCACAUUAAUGUUCCAUACGAGGAAUAUAAAUCAAAGUAAGUGCGGGUCAUUAAAAUUAGAAUUUUCUUAAUAAUUGUUUUAAAUUAGUGCGUUUUAAUUUAAGUAUCCAUAGAAAGAAAACCUCAGCUAAAUUAGCUGUUUCGUCCCACAUCAAUCGAUUGUUGGUGGGUAUUUUUUUCAUAAAGAAAAAUGCUACAUAGACAUCUCUCAAGAGGUUUAUUUAUUUAUUUUUUUUUCCUUAGAAAAACUAUGCGUAAAUUUCACUUAUGAAUGAUAUAUGAAUGCAUAUCAUCAUACGUUUUGGGGCGUUUAACUAUGUUUGACAUUUUUUUCUUCAGUUUUCGGUGAAAAAUAUGUGAAAAAUAGAUGUGUUAGAUAAAUUAUAACCAUGUUAGGUAN
rnacentral:lncRNA from 1 species